GCCUACGACAAUACUACGUUGAAUACACCGGUUCUCGUCCGAUCACCGAAGUUAAGCAACGUCGGGCUUGGUUAGUACUUGGAUGGGAGACCGCCUGGGAAUACCAGGUGUCGUAGGCUUUU
rnacentral:rRNA from 1 species